UGUACACACCGCCCGUCACACCAUGGGAGUGGGUUGCAAAAGAAGUAGGUAGCUUAACCUUCGGGAGGGCGCUUACCACUUUGUGAUUCAUGACUGGGGUGAAGUCGUAACAAGGUAACCGUAGGGGAACCUGCGGUUGGAUCACCUCCUUACCU
rnacentral:rRNA from 1 species